CCGGGUACAACGGGGUGCGACACGGUGACGUGGGGCGGAUCCCUGAAAAACCGGUCUCAGUUCGGAUCGCAGUCUGCAACUCGACUGCGUGAAGGUGGAGUCGCUAGUAAUCGCGGAUCAGCAACGCCGCGGUGAAUGCGUUCCCGGGCCUUGUACACACCGCCCGUCAAGUCAUGAAAGUGGGCAGCACCCGAAGACGGUGGCCUAACCCUUGUGGGGGGAGCCGUCUAAGGUGAGGCUCGUGAUUGGGACUAAGUCGUAACAAGGUAUC
rnacentral:rRNA from 1 species